rnacentral:rRNA from 1 species
GACAGAGGAGCCAAGCGUUGUCCGGAUUGACUGGGCGUAAAGCGCACGCAGGCGGAUGCGCGCGUGGGGUGUGAAAACUGGCGGCUUAACUGCCAGAGGCCAUCCCAUACGGCGCAACUCGAGCCAUGCAGAGGUCCACGGAAUUGCCGGUGUAGUGGUGAAAUGCGUAGAGAUCGGCAGGAACACCCAGGGGGAAACCAGUGGACUGGGCAUGUGCUGACGCUCAGGUGCGAAAGCGUGGGGAGCGAACCGG